CCUACGGGAGGCUGCAGUGGGGAAUAUUGGACAAUGGGGGGAACCCUGAUCCAGCCAUGCCGCGUGUGUGAAGAAGGCCCUCGGGUUGUAAAGCACUUUCAGUGAGGAAGAACGCCUGGUGGUUAAUACCCAUCAGGAAAGACAUCACUCACAGAAGAAGCACCGGCUAACUCCGUGCCAGCAGCCGCGGUAAUACGGAGGGUGCGAGCGUUAAUCGGAAUUACAGGGCGUAAAGCGCGCGUAGGUGGCUUGAUAAGCCGGUUGUGAAAGCCCCGGGCUCAACCUGGGAACGGCAUCCGGAACUGUCAAGCUAGAGUGCAGGAGAGGAAGGUAGAAUUCCCGGUGUAGCGGUGAAAUGCGUAGAGAUCGGGAGGAAUACCAGUGGCGAAGGCGGCCUUCUGGACUGACACUGACACUGAGGUGCGAAAGCGUGGGUAGCAAACAGGAUUAGAUACCCUAGUAGUC
rnacentral:rRNA from 1 species